GGUUUCUCUGUGUAGCUUUGGAACCUGUCCUGGAACUCACUCUGUAGACCAGGCUGGCCUCGAACUCACAGAAAUUCACCUGCCUCUGCCUCCCAAGUGCUGGGAUUAAAGGUAUGUGCCACCAAUGCCCG
ensembl:miRNA